CCUACGGGUGGCAGCAGUGAGGAAUAUUGGUCAAUGGACGAGAGUCUGAACCAGCCAAGUAGCGUGAAGGAUGACUGCCCUAUGGGUUGUAAACUUCUUUUAUAUGGGACUAAAAUGUUCCACGUGUGGGCUUUUGUAUGUACCAUAUGAAUAAGGAUCGGCUAACUCCGUGCCAGCAGCCGCGGUAAUCCGGAGGAUCCGAGCGUUAUCCGGAUUUAUUGGGUUUAUAGGGAGCGUAGGGGGAUUGUUAAGUCAGUUGUGAAAGUUUGCGGCUCAACCGUAAAAUUGUAGGGUAAACUGGCAGUCUUGAGAACAGUAGAGGUGGGCGGAAUUCGUGGUGUAGCGGUGAAAUGCUGAGAGAUCACGAAGAACUCCGAGUGCGAAGGCAGCUCACUGGACUGCAACUGACACUGAGGCUCGAAAGUGUGGGUAUCAAACAGGAUUAGAUACCCCUGUAGUC
rnacentral:rRNA from 1 species